CAGUCGCCGCGGUAAUACGAAGGGUGCAAGCGUUACUCGGAAUUACUGGGCGUAAAGCGUGCGUAGGCGGCUUCUUAAGUCGGAUGUGAAAUCCCUGAGCUUAACUUAGGAAUUGCAUUCGAUACUGGGAAGCUAGAGUAUGGGAGAGGAUGGUAGAAUUCCAGGUGUAGCGGUGAAAUGCGUAGAGAUCUGGAGGAAUACCGAUGGCGAAGGCAGCCAUCUGGCCUAAUACUGACGCUGAGGUACGAAAGCAUGGGGAGCAAACAGGAUUAGAGACCCCCGUAGUCCCUGUCUCUUAUAC
rnacentral:rRNA from 1 species